UAAGGAAUCUUGCGCAAUGGGCGAAAGCCUGACGCAGCGACACCGCGUGAGGGAUGAAGGCCUUCGGGUUGUAAACCUCUGUCAGGGGGAAAGAAACUCCGGCUGGCGAAUAACCGGCCGGACUGACGGUACCCCCAAAGGAAGCGCCGGCUAACUCCGUGCCAGCAGCCGCGGUAAGACGGAGGGCGCGAACGUUGUUCGGAAUCACUGGGCGUAAAGGGCGCGUAGGCGGAUCGGUAAGUCAGGGGUGAAAGCCUGGGGCUCAACUCCAGGACUGCCUUUGAAACUGCCGGUCUAGAGUGCAGGAGAGGAAGGCGGAAUUCCAGGUGUAGCGGUGGAAUGCGUAGAUAUCUGGAAGAACACCAGUGGCGAAGGCGGCCUUCUGGACUGACACUGACGCUGAUGCGCGAAAGCUAGGGGAGCAAACAG
rnacentral:rRNA from 1 species